CCAGCUUUAGCUCUGUUGGUAGUGUGGUGGACUGUAAAUGUGUAACAGCAUGACUAUCCUUAAGUUGCUGGUUCAAAUCCGACUCGAAGGA